rnacentral:rRNA from 1 species
GUGGCGGACGGGUGAGUAACGCGUGGGUAACCUGCCUUAUACUGGGGGAUAACAGCCAGAAAUGACUGCUAAUACCGCAUAAGCGCACAGAACCGCAUGGUUCGGUGUGAAAAACUCCGGUGGUAUAAGAUGGACCCGCGUUGGAUUAGCUAGUUGGCAGGGUAGCGGCCUACCAAGGCGACGAUCCAUAGCCGGCCUGAGAGGGUGAACGGCCACAUUGGGACUGAGACACGGCCCAGACUCCUACGGGAGGCAGCAGUGGGGAAUAUUGCACAAUGGGGGAAACCCUGAUGCAGCGACGCCGCGUGAAGGAAGAAGUAUCUCGGUAUGUAAACUUCUAUCAGCAGGGAAGAUAAUGACGGUACCUGACUAAGAAGCCCCGGCUAACUACGUGCCAGCAGCCGCGGUAAUACGUAGGGGGCAAGCGUUAUCCGGAUUUACUGGGUGUAAAGGGAGCGUAGACGGCGCAGCAAGUCUGAUGUGAAAGGCAGGGGCUUAACCCCUGGACUGCAUUGGAAACUGCUGUGCUUGAGUGCCGGAGGGGUAAGCGGAAUUCCUAGUGUAGCGGUGAAAUGCGUAGAUAUUAGGAGGAACACCA